rnacentral:lncRNA from 1 species
AUGGGGACUUGGAGGUGGUGGCCAUGGGGAAGUGGGACAUGUGGGAACGUGGGGACAUUGAGAUACGGAACGUGGGGACAUGGGGAUGUGGGACAGGAUGAGCUCCACCUGGGGUUAUGGGGACCACAACUCAAUGGAUGUGGGACAUGGGGUCACCAUGAUGGGGACGUGGGCUUAUGGGGCCGGGAAAUAGGAACCUGCCAGUGUGGGACCCAUAUUGCUGGCACCUCUGCUCUGGGGGCAGGACCCCCCAGUUCCCCACACAGCCCCUCCGGGGGUUCUGACAGACCACGAGUCCUACGGGUCACUGAGGACAGCCCAGCAUUUCAUGUCACCAUAGAGAAUCACAAGGACCCGUGCAAGGCUGGGACACGGGGUGCCCCCAUGUCACCACCCACACAUCCCAUAGCCGUCACCUCGCAGCCGCGCACUGCCAGCAGCGUCCAAAACCGGCACUUUUAUCCCAGACUGUCGGAUUUCACAGAGGGCGGCGCCGGCAGCGUUUGGGGCCGUCAGACCCGGUGUCACGCGGAGCUCCGGAGCGACGUGCAGGGACCGCCGCGUCCCACCGCCCCGUCCCCAUUUCGCAGUGCAAAACCCCACGGAGAAGCGGCCGCUUCCGCCCUCAGCCCCGCGCAGGAAACGGCCGCGCAGCCGUUUUGCUCUCGUUGCAAAAAGAAAAAAAAGAAAAAAAAAAAAAGAGGAAAAUCCCCUCCGCCGUCCCAGCGCUGCAGAAUCCCCCGGGCGCUGCCCUCAUGGGUCGGGGCUGACAUAGAUGUCCUCUCUAUGAGUCCCGGUGUUGGCGUAGAUCGGCUGCUCCCCUGCGUCGCUCUCCAGGAAAUAGAGAUCGUCCGGCGGUGCCUGGGGGCUGUGGGGGUUGUCAGUGGGGCAGCGCCCCGUGGAGAUGUGCAGGAAUGGAUCCCCGGGUGGAUCAACGGGGAGGAAAGGGCCCCACGGGUGUCUGAUCCCUGGGUUUGGUGGGAUGGGGUGGGAUGGGAUGGGUUGGGUUGA